UCUCCCAUCCAAGUACUCACCAGGGCCAGCCCUGCUUAGCUUCCAAGAUCAGAUGAGGUCCGGUGCGUUCAGGGUAGUAUGGCC
rnacentral:sRNA from 1 species